CGCUCCUUGAUUUUAAUUAAUAAGGAGUCGGACCUGCCCAGUGAUAAGUAUUUAACGGCCGCGGUACUCUGACCGUGCAAAGGUAGCAUAAUCAUUUGCCCUAUAAUUGAGGGCUAGUAUGAAUGGUUUGACAAGAACAAUACUGUCUCUUUCAAAAUUUUUAGAAUUUAUUCUUUAGGUGAAGAAACCUAAAUAAAAUUAAAAGACAAGAAGACCCUAUCGAGCUUAAACUCUUUUUAUAAAAUAAGAAAAAUUAAUAAUAUUUUUUGUUAUAAAAAAUUUUGGUUGGGGCGACUAAGGAACAAAAAAAGCUUCUUUGUUUAAUAAAGACAAGUGUGUAUUGAUCCAUAAAAUCUUGAUUAAAAGAAUUAGUUACCGUAGGGAUAACAGCAUAAUCUUUUUUAAGAGUUCUUAUCGAAAAAAAGGUUUGUGACCUCGAUGUUGGACUAAAAUUUCCUAAUAGAUGCAGACGUCUUUAAGGG
rnacentral:rRNA from 1 species